GACGAACGCUGGCGGCGUGCCUAAUACAUGCAAGUUGAGCGCUGAAGGUUGGUACUUGUACCAACUGGAUGAGCAGCGAACGGGUGAGUAACGCGUGGGGAAUCUGCCUUUGAGCGGGGGACAACAUUUGGAAACGAAUGCUAAUACCGCAUAAAAACUUUAAACACAAGUUUUAAGUUUGAAAGAUGCAAUUGCAUCACUCAAAGAUGAUCCCGCGUUGUAUUAGCUAGUUGGUGAGGUAAAGGCUCACCAAGGCGAUGAUACAUAGCCGACCUGAGAGGGUGAUCGGCCACAUUGGGACUGAGACACGGCCCAAACGCCUACGGGAGGCAGCAGUAGGGAAUCUUCGGCAAUGGACGAAAGUCUGACCGAGCAACGCCGCGUGAGUGAAGGAGGUUUUCGGAUCGUAAAACUCUGUUGGUAGAGAAGAACGUUGGUGAGAGUGGAAAGCUCAUCAAGUGACGGUAACUACCCAGAAAGGGACGGCUAACUACGUG
rnacentral:rRNA from 1 species